AACAUAAUUUUCUUCACAUUUUACACUUUUUCAAAACACAAAACCAAUGUAGUCAUGCAAGCUAUAAUGACCCAAGUUCACUAUGCAGAAGAUUCAAAAAGCACUACAUAACUUGAAUAAUUAUGUAGGAGUUAUGCAGGAGUAUAAGCUAAUUAUUAAUAGUUUUUGUGAUCUAAAAUUGUACAAAAACCAGAACCAAUGUAGUCAUGUAAGCUAGGACCAAAGUACUCGAUGUAAAGACAUUAGUUAUUCCAUUUACUUUGUGCUGAAGGAAAACAAGGAGCAGGAAAAGAAAGAGGAAAGCAAAGAAGAAAACGUGGAAGAGAAAAAGGAAGAAGGAAAAAAAAACCAAUCAUAAUCUAAACAAGAAUUUAAUACAAGAAGGAUACCAAAUCAAGAGAUCUACAAGAAUAUGUUUAAGAGCAAAAUACCAAUCAUAAUCUAAACUGUCAAGCUUGCCACUGAACUGUUAAUGGACCAUAUAAAUGUUUUAAGUACCAACCAAAUAUCUACAACAAUGAGUAUCAAUAUGGGAAAGACACUUCUUCUACUUAGAAAUUAAGACUAAAUAAUUGAUUCUACUAAAAGUAUGAAAAUGGGAGAACAUGAAACAAAAACCUAGGUUAAUUCCCCAAAACCAGAAACAAACCCUCCCUAUCUAAAACAACCACUCAUAUCAUACAUAAGGAAAAAAAAAAAACCCCCUCUUAUUCUCUCUUUCAUAACUCGGUCCCAAUGGGACCAUCCCAUCAUUUACAACCAAACCUUAAAACACCCAAAAAUACAAUAAAAC